rnacentral:rRNA from 1 species
UCGGGAAUUUUGGGCAAUGGGCGAAAGCCUGAUCCAGCCAUGCCGCGUGUGUGAAGAAGGUCUUCGGAUUGUAAAGCACUUUAAGUUGGGAGGAAGGGCAGUUACCUAAUACGUAUCUGUUUUGACGUUACCGACAGAAUAAGCACCGGCUAACUCUGUGCCAGCAGCCGCGGUAAUACAGAGGGUGCAAGCGUUAAUCGGAAUUACUGGGCGUAAAGCGCGCGUAGGUGGUUUGUUAAGUUGGAUGUGAAAUCCCCGGGCUCAACCUGGGAACUGCAUUCAAAACUGACAAGCUAGAGUAUGGUAGAGGGUGGUGGAAUUUCCUGUGUAGCGGUGAAAUGCGUAGAUAUAGGAAGGAACACCAGUGGCGAAGGCGACCACCUGGACUGAUACUGACACUGAGGUGCGAAAGCGUGGGGAGCAAACAGGAUUAGAUACCCCAGUAGUCCCUGAGCGGGCUGGCAAGGCGCAU